ensembl:ncRNA F58H1.10 ncRNA
AGAGCACGCGCAAUUUUACGGUGGAUCGUUGUGAUUUAUGAUGAGCAGGCGCUGAGGAUCACUUCCUCUUACUUUCACUGCUUAUGCAACUGAAUGGAUGCUUGGUAACAAUGUAACGAUGAUGGAUUGGAUUGAUGAAUGGAAAAGAAGGCGUUGGGUUAGUUGGAGAGGUUGGAGAGGGAGCAGUUUUUGAAGUUCUUAAAACAACGAUUUCGACU